AUUGACCUGGAACAGUAAACAACCUCAAAUUAGGGAAUGAUACAUUUUAUUAUCUGCAGUAACAUUUCUUUCUUUCUUUCUGGCAGCCAAAAUGAAAUCUUUAGCCAGUUCCAUUUUCUUCCUCAUCUUGACCUUAUUCUGCAGCCAAACAUGUAUCAUUAAACUUACAUCAGUAGCUGCAAUAACCUCAAUGAAGCCUGGUGAUGUACUUAAUCACUCUCAGGUACUUGAUUCAGAAGGUAGAAAAUUCAAGUUAGGAUUCUUCACUAUCUCACAAACUGGUAACAGUUAUCUUGGAAUAUGGUAUGCAGGUGAUCCAGUAGAGAAGAAAUUAUGGAUAGCAAAUCCAAAUACACCUAUAUUGAACAACUCAGGAUUGCUCACAUUAGAUUCUACAGGAACAUUGAAAAUCACCAUUGGAGGGAAGACAGUUGUGAAUAUUGUCAAUUCUACAGGAUUGACAGGAAGUUUAGUAGCUAGGCUUCAAGAUUCUGGAAAUUUUGUGCUUCAGGAUGAGACUCGGAACAAGACUUUAUGGCAAAGCUUUGAUCAUCCUACCAGUUGUCUUUUGCCUGGUAUGAAGCUCGGUUAUAACCUUACCACAAGACAGAAUUGGACUUUAACUUCUUGGUUGGUUAGUAGUACAAUUCCGGCCUCGGGGACUUUUACUUUAAGUUUGGAGGCCAUUCAAGAUGGAUUUCAGUUGGUUAUUCGUCGAAGGGGAAGGAUUUAUUGGACUAGUGGCGCUUGGAACAAUCAAGGUUUUCCAUUCUUAACUUCAUUCCAUGAUUCUGGUACUAUUUAUCAGUACAAUCUCAACUUGGUAUCCGGUAAGGAUGGGAUGUUCUUCCAAUUUGAGGCUACAAAAGGAAGUUUCCCAAGUCUUGAGUUGUUUUCAGAUGGAGCUAUUGUUGCUGGAGAUGAUCGUAUAUACACCCGUUAUAAUAAGUUCUGUUAUGGUCAUGAAAGUGACUAUGGUUGUGUCUCUAGUCAGUUGCCUGAGUGCCGAAAGGGUGGUGAUAAAUUUGAGCAAAAAAGAGGAGACUUUAUAGAUACAUCUGGUACUACUACUAAUUACUAUGAUAAUGCAAGCAUUAGUCUUGGUGAUUGUAUGCAGAAGUGUUGGGAGCACUGCAGUUGUGUUGGAUUCACCACGCUCAACAGCAAUGGGACAGGCUGCCUGAUUUGGAAUGGAAAGAGGGACUUUCGAGUCGAUGAGAGUGGUAAUGCAGUGCAAAGAUAUGUUCUGGUUUCACCAAAAUCAUCUAAAGGUUAGUCCUUUGUCAUAAAUGCACCUUGUUUAUGAACUAAUAUAUACUGUAUUAGUGAAGAUUCAACUGCAUAAUUUUCAAUGCGCUAUGUGUGCAGGAAAACCUUGGAUAUGGAUAGUAUUAUCUAUAUUUAUCACAAUGCUAAUAUGUGGUUUCAUUUGCUUCAUCAGAACGAGAAUACUCAAACUACAACGUAAGUCUAUGAAAAGUGAUUUAGUAACUAGUAUGUUGCUUAUUCAAAUAGUUUAAGCAUGUAAGUAUAUCUACAUACUUCUCUUACAUAGAUGAGAAAAGAAAGGAGGAAGAGUAUAGAAGUGAGUUGAAAGAAGCAGACAACCUCAACAAAACAAAUCUGCAAGAAGAAGCUGAAAGAGAAGUACAAGAUUUGAAGAUAUUUAGCUUUGGAUUGAUAUUGGCAGCCACAAACAACUUCUGGAUCGGUAACAAGCUCGGAGAGGGUGGUUUUGGACCCGUUUAUAAGGUAUAUUUUCAGUAUGUUAUAUGCACCCAAAAAACUCCAUAGUACUCUCACUAUAUAACAUAAUAACCCUUAAGAAUGUAUGAUAGGGACAAUUUCCAGAUGGAAGAGAGGUGGCAGUCAAGAGACUUUCAAGAACAUCAGGUCAAGGGCUUGCGGAGUUCAAGAAUGAGCUUAUACUAAUUGCUAAAGUUCAGCACAGAAAUCUAGUUCGAGUUCUAGGAUACUGUAUUCACGGAGAUGAGAAAAUGUUGAUUUAUGAGUACAUGCCGAACAAGAGCUUGGACUUCUUCCUUUUUGGUUUGUAACCAUUUCAAAAUAAGACCUACUCUUUCAAUUAAUUGUUUGAAAUUUAUGAUGAAAUGCUUUCGGUCAUUGACAGAUCCUGCAACAAAGAAGCUACUGGAUUGGCAGAAACGCUUUGAGAUUAUAGAAGGAAUUGCGCAAGGAUUACUCUAUCUUCACAAAUACUCAAGAAUGAUAGUGAUACAUAGAGAUCUAAAAGCUAGUAAUGUGCUCUUGGAUGAAAACAUGAAUCCUAAGAUAGCUGAUUUUGGUCUGGCAAGAAUUUUCAAACAGAACGAGACAGAGGCGGUGACUGGCAGGGUUGUUGGAACAUAGUGAGUUGAGCUUAUUUCUUGAUAUAGAUCUAGAGAACAUGUGUACAUCUUCAUACUGACUUAGUGGGAAAUUCUUUCUAUCCUCUACACAGUGGUUACAUGGCUCCCGAGUUCGCAAUGGAAGGAGCAUUCUCGAUCAAGUCUGAUGUCUUCAGCUUUGGAGUCAUAAUGCUGGAAAUUGUGAGUGGUAGAAGAAAUGCUAGCUUACAACAGUUCGAUCGUCCUCUCAACUUAAUAGGUUAUGUAAGUUUUUCUUGACCUCCUUUUCUAUUCUAAGUACAAAAUCUACGAAGUUCGAGCCAAAUGAUCAUUCUUGUUCAGGCUUGGGAACUAUGGAAAGAAGGAUGUGCACUAGAACUGAAGGAUCCAACUCUUGGAGAUCUUUGUGACACUCAACAAUUAUUACGAGUUAUUCAUGUCGCACUAUUGUGUGUACAAGAAGGCACAGCAGAUAGGCCAACAACGUCUGAUGUUAUCUCAAUGCUUGGUAAUGAGAGUAUGUCACUGCCUAUUGCAAAACAACCUGCAUUUUUCACAGGAAGAGAUGAAUCUGAAUCAUAUUCGUUCACAGCCAAAACAGAACAAUGUUCGGUUAAUGAUUGUUCCAUCACUGUCGUUGAAGCAAGAUGAGAUUAGAGAUGUUGUAUUUAGCCUGCUUCAUACACACUAGGACUCUGGCAUAAUUAAGCCUAUUUUGUCGUGCACAUAAUAAAAGCACAUUAUAUAGGAAGAAGAUAGGAAAAAUGCAGGAUUCUGCUGAUUAGACUCGUUAGUUCUACAGCUCGAAGAGAAUGUUACCGAUACAAAAACCAUGUAAACAUUCAUCAUAACAUAGCUUCUUAUUCUCUCCUUAUGUUCCUUUAGAUUUUCAAAAGAACUUAAAGCAAUUACAUCUGGAAGCUUUAAUCAGAUAAGUAAUUGUAUGUGUAAAGAUAUGACUCCUUCGUAUUGACUCCAUUCUCCAACCAAUAUGGAACUUUCACCCACUCUAAUAGUAUGAUUGAAUUGGUUGGAUUCUGAUAAGUCACACACUUUUAGGAGGUAAAAUUGAUGGCGGUUCUCUAUAGCAGUGUGAAUGAUAAAGCGUUUAUACUAUAUUACAGUUCAUCUUUUAUUACCCCAAGUAGCUCCAAGAAUCAUGAAUUAAAGAAAAACAAAGGGAAUCUUUUAAAGAAUCCUGCAACAAAGAAGCUACUGAAUUGACAGAAAUGCGUUGAGAUUAUAGAAGAAAUUGCUAUUGUUCGAGGACUACUGAAGAACUACACAAAUCGCCCACCAACUUAGGGAACUGGUUCCAAACUAUCUAUGCAGUAAAAUAAACGUAAAGAACAGUGCGUGGAAACCUCCUUGCUCAAGGGAGUAAAACCACGGCCUACCACGUAGGAUUUCCAACCACUUCACUAUAUUUAAACAACCUUGAAUACAGACUCCAUGGUUCUAGUAUUAACCUCUUAAUCCUCUUCUACUUGUAAUAACUCUAUUACAAAAGGAAACUCCAAUGCAAUAACUCUAUUGCACUAACUGACACAGCUAACUCUAACUAAAUCAGUACCAAGCUAACUCUAGCCUCUAUGUCAACUAACUCUAGAUGACACAAUCAACAAUGAGAACACACCUAUUGUUAAUUAACAAGAGCAGCAGGCUAAACGUUUACAAACCACAAAACAAACUCAAAUACAACACGAGCUUGAGACACAAAUGACGACUGAGCAGGUCCCUGUUGCAAGUGAGGCUUUGGAUGGCAAAUUGCUUCAAGAAAGAUUUGAUGUUGUUUGCAUAUGGAAGCUUAGGUUUUCUUGUUGUAACAUGUUGCAUAUAUAUGAAACAAGAAACCUAGGACUCUUCUCCUUGGCCGGAGCAAAGGAAGUAUUGCAACUUUGCCACCAACUUUUUGUAAACCGUACUUUUUUCAGCUGUAAUGCUGACUGAGUGCAUGAGUCAUAGUCGCGAUAAACCUGGUCCCUAAGCAAUGCAAAUUUAUCUCUUCAUGAACCAGGUCUCAACAUUGGUAGUUUGUCAAUCAUCAAAACUAAGGACUUAACAAUUACUCUAUCUCACAGAUAUUCAAGAAUGAGACUGAUGCAUAGAGAUAUGAAGUCCAGUUAUGUGCGCUCUUGGAUGACAACAUGAAUCCUAGAUAGCAUGUUUGUUUAAUUCAAUCCUAAGAUAGCUGAUUUUAGUUUGGCAAGAAUUUUCAAACAGAACGAAACGGAGGCAGUGAUUGGCAGGGUUGUUGGAACAUAGUGAGUAGAUCAUAUUCAUUACUAAGCAACCUUAAGGUUUCAAAAUUUGAACUUUUGCUGGAUCAUGUUACUAUAGCUUAGGAGGCUUUGAUCUAGUCCACAUCGGCUAAUUGUUUGUUCACUUUUUGGUUUUCUCAAUAAAAAUCAACCAUUUCCUGCUAAUUUUGUUUUAAAUGCCAGGAAGGAAAAAAGAAGAUAGAAACGUCAAAUAAAAACAAACAAACAUGCACAAAGUAUAAAUUGAUCAAAAAUGUUGCUAGGAAAAGUCAAGAUUGUCUCUUUCAAGCUUUCCUUCAAGUAACAUGUCCAAAUACCAUUUGUACUCAGAAAAAUCUUAAAAUAUACAGGCUGAAAUCAUUAAUUAUUCUCGAGUUCACAUUUGGCUUUGAAGAAGAAAAUAAAUCUGGAUUGGGUCAACAUUUUUUGUUUAAAAAUCCCAGAUUGUCUUUCCUCCAAUGUUUUGUAUUCAGAAAAAUCUUCAGAUACUGUAGCAGAAUUUUUUUUCCCAAGUGUUGAUUAUUUUCCAAUAUAUUAUUGGCUUUGAAGAACAAACAAUCUAAAAAGGAAUGACCACUUUAUUUUUUGUUUCUGGUAGGAAAUAUGAUAUCAUUAGCCAAUUCCAAUUUCUUUGUCAUCUUGGCCUUAUUCUGCAGCCAAACAUGUAUCAACUUUUCUUCCGUAGGUGCAAUAACCUCAUUGAGGCCUGGUGAUGUACUCAAUAAUUCACAAGCACUUGAUUCAGAAGGUGGAAAAUUCCGGUUAGGAUUUUUCUCUAUCCCACAGACAAAUAAAACUUAUCUUGGAAUAUGGUAUGCAGAUGAUCGACAAGAAAGGAAAUUGUG
rnacentral:lncRNA from 1 species